CCAUAUAAGCUAGUGCAGAAGCAAGGAUGGAAAACACACAGAGGUGUGUUAAUGAAAAUUUUGGACAGGACUACCCCUAAACAAAACACAAUCUGAUCGUGACCUACCUCUUCUCCUUUAUUAUCGUGUGACCUUCAUUUUCGCCUUCCAUGUUGUGAGAGAUCGCCUCCCACCGCGCCUCUACAGAUUGAAACCGCCCCUUUGUAGAUUGUCAUUGUGCCUCCCACCGCGCCUCAUCACGCACCUCUACAGAUUGUCGUCGUGUCACCUCCCUCAUCGUCACCGCGUUUGCUUCGCCUCCCUCCUCGUGACGCACCUUUCUUUGAGAUGCAAACACAAGAAGCAACACUUUGAGUUCAACGAGUAAAAAAAGAAGGAGAAUUUUCGGUAGAUGAAGAAUCGUUGGUAGCCAACGCAGGGGAAGCACGUGGAGCACAGUUUUGAUUCGUUUCCUUUGUGGCACAAGACUAUAAUAAUUUUGACUUAAAAGGUUUCGUGAUAGAGUAAUUAAUAAUGCAAAUUUAUAUAUAUGAACUUUUUUAUCGUUUGAUU